rnacentral:lncRNA from 1 species
AUAUUUCUAGUCAUGACCAGCCAUCAAAAAAAGUCAGGCCAUCUCCUUGCUGUAUUGCCAGCUGACCUGUGCAUCUCUCUUACUCAACUUCAUCUCCCACAAACUAUAAGUGGCUUGGAUUUAUCUGUCAACUCUGGAAGAGGGAGCAGCACCACAACUAUCUUUUCACUGAUGCAGCUGAAAUGUCUCACUUUCAAGAACACGUUUGCCAGUCAUCAGUGCUGGACUCCUCACUGGCCAAGCUGUGUAGAGGGACCACUACAAUUCCACAGUAACUGACCUUCCUUUCUGUUUUUCUCCCAGCAAUAUUUCAUUACUUUCUGAAUGCUCCAAAGAGUAGGGAUAGUUUGGCAUGUUAUACAGCUAAAGCGCAAUAAUUGUAAAUGUAAAUGCCUGUCGUCUUGUGGAGAGGGGAAAGCAGUUUCAACCCUAGGAAUAUACAAAUGGGAUUAUUAUGUUGUUAAAGUGAAGGAGCUUUGAACUGCUCAGGAUUGACCAUGAAGACUCAUACCUUCAUAUUUAAUACAAUUGUUUGGGAUUUAGAGCUAUUCCCUUUCAAAGGAAUGGGAAAUUUUCUUUAUAUGUGAGUAGCAUAGGAUCAAAUCUUUAAAUACUCAAUGAUUUAAAGUAGGUAUCUAGCAUGCUAACUAGAAAAAUAUGGCUGUAACUCAUUUCAAAGAGCAUUACAAACAUUGAGUCAGUACUGGCCAAAAUCAGCCUAGCUUCCUGGAAUUAGCUGAAAUACAUUUAUUUUACAGCUGAUCAAGGACUUGGCAUAUUGUCUGUUUGGUUAUGUACUUUUAAAAACUCCACUUAAUGUUAAAUGUUGUAACAAUGAGCCACUAUGUUUGGGUCUAACUAAUCUCUCAAAGAUUAGCCUGGAGCUUUGUUAAACAUCAGAUAUUGUAUGUUUCAUUUUAUCUUAUCUCCCAUCAAAUGCUCAUCUGAGACUGCACAGGGCACAGCUCCUGAGAUGUUGCCUUAUGUUAAGUGCUACACCCUCUCCAGGACUGGUCACUAGUGUGGCUAUAUAAAUAAAUAUAUACGUGAAUAAUAUCUAUUCKAAGAA